rnacentral:tRNA from 2 species
UGUUCAGAUAGCUUAAAUUUUAAAGCUUAGCAUUGAAAUUGCUAUUAUGAGUAUUUCUCUGAACA